rnacentral:rRNA from 1 species
ACCUCAGUUCGGAUUGAAGGCUGAAAUUCGCCUUCAUGAAGUCGGAAUUGCUAGUAAUGGCAGGUCAGCAUACUGCCGUGAAUACGUUCCCGGGCCUUGUACACACCGCCCGUCACACCAUGAGAGUUGGAGAUACCCGAAGCCUAUGAGCUAACUUUUAGAGGCAGUAGUCGAAGGUAGAAUCAAUGAUUGGGGUGAAGUCGUAACAAGGUAAC